GGUAAAGUGGCCGAAUGUUAGGCGGUAGGCUGUAGACCUACUUACACUGGUUUGAUUCCUUUCUUUAUC
rnacentral:tRNA from 1 species